rnacentral:rRNA from 1 species
CCUACGGGAGGCAGCAGUGAGGAAUAUUGGUCAAUGGACGAGAGUCUGAACCAGCCAAGUAGCGUGAAGGAUGACUGCCCUAUGGGUCGUAAACUUCUUUUAUAAAGGAAUAAAACGAGGCACGUGUGCCUUUUUGCAUGUACUUUAUGAAUAAGGAUCGGCUAACUCCGUGCCAGCAGCCGCGGUAAUACGGAGGAUCCGAGCGUUAUCCGGAUUUAUUGGGGUUAAAGGGAGCGUAGAUGGGUUGUUAAGUCAGUGGUGAAAGUUUGCGGCUCAACCGUAAAAUUGCAGUUGAAACUGGCAGUCUUGAGUACAGUUGAGGUAGGCGGAAUUCGUGGUGUAGCGGUGAAAUGCUUAGAUAUCGCGAAGAACCCCGAUUGCGAAGGCAGCUUACUAACCUGUGACUGACAUUGAUGCACGAAAGUGUGGGUAUCAAACAGGAUUAGAUACCCCAGUAGUC